UUGUGUACUUCGUUCAGUUACGUAUUGCUGGUGCUGUUCUCGCAAGGCGAAAGUAGUUUUAACCUUUCUGUUGGUGCUGAUAUUGCAGAGUUUGAUCCUGGCUCAGAUUGAACGCUGGCGGAACGCUUACAUGCAAGUCGAACGGUAACAGCGAGGAAGCUUGCUUUUUCGGCUGACGAGUGGCGAACGGGUGAGUAAUACAUCGGAACGUGUCCGCUCGUGGGGACAACCAUCCGAAAGGAUGGCUAAUACCACAUGAGUUCUACGGAAGAAAGGGGGGACCUGCUUGCAGGCCUCUCGCGAGCGGAGCGGCCGAUGACUGAUUAGCCGGUUGGUGAGGUAACGGCUCACCAAAGCAACGAUCAGUAGCUGGUCUGAGAGGACGACCAGCCACACUGGGACUGAGACACGGCCCAGACUCCUACRGGAGGCAGCAGUGGGGAAUUUUGGACAAUGGGCGCAAGCCUGAUCCAGCUAUUCCGCGUGUGGGAUGACGGCCCUCGGGUUGUAAACCACUUUAGUAGAGAACGAAAGGAGCUAUCGAAUAAAUAGCUCUGCUGACGGUACUCUAAGAAUAAGCACCGGCUAACUACGUGCCAGCAGCCGCGGUAAUACGUAGAGGUGCGAGCGUUAAUCGGAAUUACUGGGCGUAAAGGGUGUGCAGGCGGCUGAGUAAGACAGAUGUGAAAUCCCGGGCUUAACCUGGGAACCGCAUAUGUGACUGCUUGGCUAGAGUGCGUCAGAGGAGGUGGAAUUCCACGUGUAGCAGUGAAAUGCGUAGAUAUGUGGAAGAACACCGAUGGCGAAGGCAACCUCCUGGGACGCAACUGACGCUCAUACACAAGCGUGGGGAGCAAACAGGAUUAGAUACCCUGGUAGUCCACGCCUAAACGAUGUCAACUAGUUGUUGGGGAUUAAAAUUCUCAGUAACGCGCAGCCAACGCGUGAAGUUGACCGCCUGGGAAGUACGGUCGCAAGACUAAAACUCAAAGGAAUUGACGGGGACCCGCACAAGCGGUGGAUGAUGUGGAUUAAUUCGAUGCAACGCGAAAAACCUUACCUACCCUUGACAUGUCAGAGAAGCUUUUGUAAUGAGAGUGUGCCCGCAAGGCGUCCUGAACACAGGUGCUGCAUGGCUGUCGUCAGCUCGUGUCGUGAGAUGUUGGGUUAAGUCCGCAACGAGCGCAACCCUUGUCACUAGUUGCUACGAAAGGGCACUCUAGUGAGACUGCCGGUGACAAACCGGAGGAAGGUGGGGAUGACGUCAAGUCCUCAUGGCCCUUAUGGGUAGGGCUUCACACGUCAUACAAUGGUCGGAACAGAGGGCAGCCAACCCGUGAGGGGCAAAUCCCAGAAAACCGAUCGUAGUCCGGAUUGCAGUCUGCAACUCGACUGCAUGAAGUCGGAAUCGCUAGUAAUCGCGGAUCAGCAUGCCGCGGUGAAUACGUUCCCGGGUCUUGUACACACCGCCCGUCAAACAAUGGGAGUGGUGUUUACAGAAGUCGUUAGCCUAACCCAAGGAGGCGGCGACCACGGUGAGCACCGUGACUAAUGUUAAGUCGUAACAAGGUAGCCGUACCGGAAGGUGCGGCUGGAUCACCUCCUUUCAAGAAAGCGAAUGAAGUUUUAGAAGACGCGUGAAUUCAUUCAGCGCUCACUCUUAUCGGCAGUCGAUAAAUGAAAAGACGAUGGGUCUUUAGCUCAGCUGGUUAGAGCACCGUCUUGAUAAGGCGGGGGUCGAUGGUUCAAGUCCAUCAAGACCCACCAUAGUUCUGAGACGGGGUAUAGCUCAGCUGGGAGGCACCUGCUUUGCAAGCAGGGGUCAACAGUUCGAUCCGUUUACCUCCACCAACAAGAGACAAGAUGAAAACGCGUUUGACGCGCUGAUAUUGUCUUUUGACAAUACGUUCUUUAACAAUUCGGAAAGAUUGAAAAAUCUAACGUUAAGACUGAUUUGAUGAGAGUCAGUCAAGACGGGUAGUGAUUGGAAAUCAAGCAAAGUUAAAACUUUGAGAUUUCUCAAGCAUGAGACAUUGACAGCAUAUGGGCACAAGAACCAAGUUACUUGUGACCCGGCCGGGCAAUAGGCGGCAGGGUUAUAGGAUCAAGUGACUGAGUGCAUGUGGCGGAUGCCUUGGCGAUCUGAGCGAAGAAAGACGCGGCAGCCUGCGAAAAGCUGCGGGGAGCUGGCAAACGAGCAUUGAUCCGCAGAUAUCUGAAUGGGGAACCCACACCGCAAGGUGUAUCUGCAUCUGAAUACAUAGGGUGCAGAGGCGAACGAGGAGAACUGAAACAUCUAAGUAUCCUCAGGAAAAAAUCAACCGAGAUUCCGGCAGUAGCGGCGAGCGACCCCGGAAAAAGCCUAACAGCUGAUAGUUUGAAGCGUAGUCGAACGGAAUGGAAAAGUCCGGCCAUAGCGGGUGAUAGCCCGUAGGCGAAACGCUUUGAAUGGUACUAAGGCAGUGAGAAGUGAGCGGGACACGUGGAAUCCUGUUCGAAGACGGGGGACCAUCCUCCAAGGCUAAAUACUCGUGAUCGACCGAUAGUGAACCAGUACCGUGAGGGGAAAGGAAAAAAAACCCGGGGGGGGGUGAAAUAGAACCUGAAACCGCAUGCAUACAAACAGUAGGAGCUCCGUAAGGAGUGACUGCGURCAUGCAUAAUGGGUCCAGCGACUUACAUUCUGUGGCGAGCUUAACCGACUAGGGGAGGCGCAGCGAAAGCAGUUCGAAUAGAGCGAACAGUCGCAGGGUGUAGACCCGAAACCAGAUGAGCUAUCCAUGGCCAGGUUGAAGGUGUGGUAACACACACUGGAGGACCGAACCGACUAGUGUUGCAAAAUUAGCGGAUGAGCUGUGGAUAGGGGUGAAAGGCCAAACAAAUCUGGAGAUAGCUGGUUCUCCCGAAAACUAUUGAGGUAGUGCCUCGUGUAUCGCUCCAGGGGUAGAGCACUGUUUUGGCUAGGGGACAUGGAGUCUUACCAAACCAAGGCAAACUCCGAAUACCUGGAAGCGUGAGCACGGGAGACAGAGCACCAGGUGCUAACGUCCGGACUCAAAGGAACAACAGACCGCCRGCUGGGUCCCCAAUAAUGGCUAAGUGGAAAACAAGUGGAAGGCCGUGACAACCAGGAAGUUGGCUUAGAAGCAGCCAUCCUUCAAAGAAAGCGUAAUAGCUCACUGGUCGAGUCUUUUUGCGCGGAGAAGAUGUAACAGGGCUAAGCCAUUAACCGAAGCCGCGGAUGCAGAGAUUAUUCUCUGCGUGGURGGGGAGCGUUCUGUAAGUCUGCAGAAGRGUCUUGAGAAGGAUUCUGGAGAUAUCAGAAGUGCGAAUGCUGACAUGAGUAACGUUAAAGCGGGUGAAAAGCCCGCUCGCCGUAAUCAAGGUUUCCUGCUCUACGUUCAUCGGAGCAGGUGGGGUCGGCCCCAAGGCGAGGCCGAAAGGCGUAGUCGAUGGGAAUCAGGUUAAUAUUCCCGAACCGCCGCCGAAUGCGAUGGGGUGACGGAGUUUAGAAGGUCAGCCGGGUGUUGGAUGUCCCGGUGGGUGAGUGUAGGAGGUCUGCAGGCAAAUCCGCAGACGCAUCUCCGAGCAAAGCCGCGAUCUGCUAAGGCAGAGAGUGAUUGGACGAACUUCAAGAAAACCCUCUAAGCGUCAGUUCGGCGGGACCGUACCGCAAACCGACACUGGUGGGCGAGCUGAAUAUGCUCAGGCGCUUGAGAGAACUCGGGAGAAGGAACUCGGCAAAUUGACACCGUAACUUCGGAAGAAGGUGUGCCUGAGUAACGUAGGCGCAGGGACUGCGCUCGCGUGAAAGGUCUCAGAGAAUAGGUGGCUGCGACUGUUUAUUAAAACACAGCACUCUGCCAAGUCGAAAGACGACGUAUAGGGUGUGAUGCCUGCCCGGUGCUGGAAGAUUAAUUGAUGGGCUGAGAGGCCUUGAUCAAGUCCCAGUAAACGGCGGCCGUAACUAUAACGGUCCUAAGGUAGCGAAAUUCCUUGUCGGGUAAGUUCCGACCUGCACGAAUGGCAUAACGAUGGCCACACUGUCUCCUCGAGACUCAGUGAAGUUGAAAUGUUUGUGAUGAUGCAAUCUACCCGCGGCUAGACGGAAAGACCCAUGAACCUUUACUGCAGCUUUGCAUUGAACUGUGAACCGAUUUGUGUAGGAUAGGUGGGAGGCAGAGAAACGUGUACGCCAGUACGCGCGGAACAACMAUGAAAUACCACCCUGAUUUGUUUGCGGUUCUAACCGGGACAGUGACCCUGUUCGGGGACCGUGCAUGGUAGGCAGUUUACUGGGGCGGUGAAGAUAGAGCGACAGGCAAGUAGGUUAAAARUUACUUGGUUUUGUUCCUGAACAGCACCAACAAUGAAA
rnacentral:misc_RNA from 1 species